UCCCACUCUCUGCCCCAGUGACAUGAAAAGUAGUAAAAAGAGCUGAGGGAACUGCUGUGCUAGACCAGGUGAAUAAAAACUCUCCCAAUAAAGAUGUCUGUUCAUAGGAUAAAGGAGUUGAAUCUCCAGGCAGGCAGUGUGGUAGCGAUCCCCAGUAAGCAAUGAGUGCCUGCAUUGGGCUGUGCUGCGUCCCCUACUAGAGGGCACAUGCAGGAGUGGUGGGCAGCACAUGGUCCUGCUUACCACCAUGACCCCUCCUGCCCUGAGCUGCCAGACAGCCGCAGUAGCAGCUCUGCAGCACCCACAGCUCAUGUGCAGUGCGUCCCGUGAUCAGCCCAAAGAGGAAAAGUGCUGUGCAAGCGUCAGCCGCUGUUGUUCCUGGCAGCACUGCGUGGGGAUGCUUGCAGGCAGUGCCUGUGGGGCUGGCUAACCGCUAACCAGCGCGGAGCCUCUGCGCUUAGAGGCACCGAGCACUAUUCACCACACAUAUUCCCAUUUGCAAAAUAAAAAGUGAUUCUGACAACAAAGUCUUUCAGUGACUAAGCGACCAGCGCGCCGCUGGUACCAAGUAGUUGGCACCAUUUCUAUCAUAAACACUGCUAUCAGGUCAUUGUAACUCAGCUGUAAAAACUUGCUCCAGGCUGAUAUUUGGCAAACAAGACCCUGCAAGAUAAUCCUUUUUUAAACACAUUAUCCUAUCUGAGUAAUCUACAGACAUGGGAAUGGAAGAGGUCUGCAGAUGCAAUCCUCACGGACAUCUCUGUUGAUCUUCUCUGCUGAUGUGGAGAAGGGCACCCAGGGAUGGGAGCACCUGGCCAUCUCAGAGGGAAUCCCAGAGUCCCACAGACAUACCUCCUCCCACCUGAAGCCACCAGCUUUCCCACAGAAGUGAAGGGAUCAGGAUGCAGAGAGAUACUGAGAAUAUAGAUGGUACGAAUGGUUUACCUUUCCAUCCUGUGCACACAGUAGAUCUGGAGGAUCUGCAAAAGCAAUUCUUUGGCACAAGUGGAGAAGACACCACAACCACAACUACCACCUCAGUGGCGAAAGCAGCAGUAGGUGCCCACGAUCCA
rnacentral:lncRNA from 1 species